GACGAACGCUGGCGGCGUGCCUAAUACAUGCAAGUAGGACGCAGUUGCGAAUGGGUGAGUAACGCGUAGGUAACUACCUAUUAGUGGGGGAUAACUAUUGGAAACGAUAGCUAAUACCGCAUACUAGUAGAUGGACCUGCGUUGUAUUAGCUAGUAGGUAGGGGAAUGGCCUACCUAGGCAACGAGACAUGCCCGACCUGGGAGGGUGAUCCGCCAAACUGGGACUUGGAAACGGCCCCGAAUCCUACGGGAGGCAGCAGGAGGGAAUCUUCGGCAAAGGGGGGAACCCUGACCGAGCAACGCCGGGUGAGUGAAGAAGGUUUUCGGAUCGUAAAGCUCUGUUGUUAAGGAAGCGGUACUUAACCAGAAAGGGACGGCUAACUACGUGCCAGCAGCCGCGGUAAUAC
rnacentral:rRNA from 1 species